rnacentral:rRNA from 1 species
GGAGCUUGCUCCCUGAUGUUAGCGGCGGACGGGUGAGUAACACGUGGGUAACCUGCCUGUAAGACUGGGAUAACUCCGGGAAACCGGGGCUAAUACCGGAUGGUUGUUUGAACCGCAUGGUUCAAACAUAAAAGGUGGCUUCGGCUACCACUUACAGAUGGACCCGCGGCGCAUUAGCUAGUUGGUGAGGUAACGGCUCACCAAGGCAACGAUGCGUAGCCGACCUGAGAGGGUGAUCGGCCACACUGGGACUGAGACACGGCCCAGACUCCUACGGGAGGCAGCAGUAGGGAAUCUUCCGCAAUGGACGAAAGUCUGACGGAGCAACGCCGCGUGAGUGAUGAAGGUUUUCGGAUCGUAAAGCUCUGUUGUUAGGGAAGAACAAGUACCGUUCGAAUAGGGCGGUACCUUGACGGUACCUAACCAGAAAGCCACGGCUAACUACGUGCCAGCAGCCGCGGUAAUACGUAGGUGGCAAGCGUUGUCCGGAAUUAUUGGGCGUAAAGGGCUCGCAGGCGGUUUCUUAAGUCUGAUGUGAAAGCCCCCGGCUCAACCGGGGAGGGUCAUUGGAAACUGGGGAACUUGA